GGGGAUACGACACUAGUCUUA
rnacentral:siRNA from 1 species